UCGUCUUUUGAAUAUAUAGAAGAUAUAACCUGCCCACUGAAAAAUUAAAGGGCCGCGGUAUUGUGACCGUGCAAAGGUAGCAUAAUCAUUAGUCUUCUAAUUAAAGGCUGGAAUGAAUGGUUGGACGAGGUAAAAGCUGUCUCAUUUAAGAUAUUUAAAAUUUAACAUUUUAGUGAAAAGGCUAAAAUAAUGUUGGAGGACGAGAAGACCCUAUAGAGCUUAAUAAUAAAAUUAAUAGGAAAUAUAGUAGAGGUUUUAUUUUUAAUAUAGUUAUUUUGUUGGGGUGACAGGAAAAUAAAUAAACUUUUUUAUAUAAUUAACACUAAUGAGUGAGUUUAUGAUCCAUUAUUAAUGAUUAUAAGACCAAGUUACCUUAGGGAUAACAGCGUAAUCCUUUUUGAGAGUUCUUAUCGACAAAAGGGUUUGCGACCUCGAUGUUGGACUAAGAAAAUAUUUGGGUGUAGAUGUUCAAAUGUUAGGUCUGUUCGACCUUUAAAUUCUUACAU
rnacentral:rRNA from 1 species